GUCUUCGGUGCGACAAAGCCAGCCCUCCGGUCACCAACCCGCCUGCCUACGUGGUGACUAUGGGCAAAACACACGAGUGUACGCCAUAAUGUCUUGCGCGAACUUAGGGAAGCCUAUGUCCAGCAGUCGACUGCGAUAGACUGAAGUGAUAA